AAAGGGAGACCUAAUUCAGGUAUAAGACGAAAAAAAAGUAGUCCCUACCAAGAAUCAAUCCCAAAAGGUCGGAACGAGGUAUGAGGCUUUCAAACUAGGUUCUGGGUUCAUAAAAGACCUGAAUCAGGAACAAGGGCUAUUAGCUCAGGUGGUAGAGCGCACCCCUGAUAAGGGUGAGGUCCCUGGUUCGAGUCCAGGAUGGCCCACCUGCACAGGUGGCAAAAACAAGAGAAGCGAGGAAUCAGCACCUUAUCUUAUAUACAUAUAUAAGAGAGAAUGCUGGCUCUGAGUACAGAGUCCAGAGGAACCUUGAAAACUGCAUAGAGCUAGGUGAAAAAGCCAAAAAAGAAGACCGCAAG
rnacentral:tRNA from 1 species